GCCAUCGUGGCGCAAUGGUAGCGCAUCACCUUCCUACCAAGCCAACUUGGCCUGGAACGAGGUGGGGGUUGCGGGUUCGAUCCCCGUCGGUGGUA